GAAAUGCGAUAAGUAGUGUGAAUUGCAGAAUUCAGUGAAUCAUCGAAUCUUUGAACGCACAUUGCGCCCCUUGGUAUUCCAUGGGGCAUGCCUGUUCGAGCGUCAUUUGUACCUUCAAGCUUUGCUUGGUGUUGGGUGUUUGUCUCGCCUCUGCGCGCAGACUCGCCUCAAAACAAUUGGCAGCCGGCGUAUUGAUUUCGGAGCGCAGUACAUCUCGCGCUUUGCACUCAUAACGACGACGUCCAAAAAGUACAUUUUUUACACUCUUGACCUCGGAUCAGGUAGGGAUACACGCUGAACUUAAGC
rnacentral:misc_RNA from 1 species